CCAAUAGCGUAUAUUAAAGUUGUUGCAGUUAAAAAGCUCGUAGUUGAAUUUCGGGGUCAGUAGAUUGGUCAUGCCACUGGUCUGUACUGGUCUCACUGAUUCCUCCUUCCUGAUGAUCCGUAAUGCCAUUAAUUUGGUGUUGCGAGGAAACUGGACUGUUACUUUGAAAAAAUUAGAGUGUUUAAAGCAGGCUAACGCUUGAAUACAUUAGCAUGGGACUAUGAAAUAGGACGUUCGAUCUUAUUUUGUUGGUUUCUAAGAUUGACGUAAUGAUUAAUAGGGAUAGUUGGGGGCAUUAGUAUUCAAUUGUCAGAGGUGAAAUUCUUGGAUUUAUUGAAGACUAACUACUGCGAAAGCAUUUGCCAAGGAUGUUUUCAUUAAUCAAGAACGAAAGUUAGGGGAUCGAAGACGAUCAGAUACCGUCGUAGUCUUAACCAUAAACUAUGCCGACUAGGGAUCGGAUGAUGUUAAUUUUUUAAUGACUCAUUCGGCGCCUUACG
rnacentral:rRNA from 1 species